rnacentral:rRNA from 1 species
UACGUAGGUGGCAAGCGUUGUCCGGAUUUAUUGGGCGUAAAGCGAGCGCAGGCGGUUUCUUAAGUCUGAUGUGAAAGCCCCCGGCUCAACCGGGGAGGGUCAUUGGAAACUGGGAGACUUGAGUGCAGAAGAGGAGAGUGGAAUUCCAUGUGUAGCGGUGAAAUGCGUAGAUAUAUGGAGGAACACCAGUGGCGAAGGCGGCUCUCUNGGUCUGUAACUGACGCUGAGGCUCGAAAGCGUGGGGAGCAAACAGGAUUAGAUACC